CCCUUAGAGUUUGAUCCUGGCUCAGGACAAACGCUGGCGGCGGGCUUAACACAUGCAAGUCGAAGGAGAAGGUAGAAGCUUGCUUUUACUGGAGACUGGCGGACGGGUGAGUAACGCGUAGAUAACCUGCCUAUAGCUGGGGGAUAACACUGCGAAAGUGGUGCUAAUACCGCAUAAUGCAGCGGGGCCGCAUGGCCAUAGUUGUUAAAGGUUUCGACCGGCUAUAGAUGGGUCUGCGUGCUAUUAGUUAGUUGGUAGGGUAACGGCCUACCAAGGCGAUGAUAGCUAGGGGGUCUGAGAGGAUGAUCCCCCACACUGGGACUGAGACACGGCCCAGACUCCUACGGGAGGCAGCAGUGAGGAAUCUUGCGCAAUGGGCGAAAGCCUGACGCAGCCACGCCGCGUGCCGGAUGAAGGCCCUAUGGGUUGUAAACGGCUUUUACUAGGGAAGAACGAGAGGGUUUCGAUCUUCUGUGACGGUACCUAGUGAAUAAGCACCGGCUAACUCCGUGCCAGCAGCCGCGGUAAUACGGAGGGUGCAAGCGUUGUCCGGAAUCAUUGGGUGUAAAGGGUACGUAGGCGGGAGCCUAAGUCUGGGGUGAAAUCUUGCCGCUUAACGGUAAAAUGGCCCUGGAUACUGGGUUUCUUGAGUGCAGAAGAGGCAGGUGGAAUUCGUGGUGUAGCGGUGAAAUGCUUAGA
rnacentral:rRNA from 1 species